rnacentral:rRNA from 1 species
AUGAACGCUGGCGGCGUGCUUAACACAUGCAAGUCGAACGGAAAGGCCCAAGCUUGCUUGGGUACUCGAGUGGCGAACGGGUGAGUAACACGUGGGUGAUCUGCCCUGCACUUCGGGAUAAGCCUGGGAAACUGGGUCUAAUACCGGAUAGGACCACUUCUUGGAUGUUGUGGUGGAAAGUUUUCUCGGUGUGGGAUGAGCUCGCGGCCUAUCAGCUUGUUGGUGGGGUAAUGGCCUACCAAGGCGUCGACGGGUAGCCGGCCUGAGAGGGUGUACGGCCACAUUGGGACUGAGAUACGGCCCAGACUCCUACGGGGGGCAGCAGUGGGGAAUAUUGCACAAUGGGCGCAAGCCUGAUGCAGCGACGCCGCGUGGGGGAUGACGGCCUUCGGGUUGUAAACUCCUUUCGCUAGGGACGAAGCGUUUUUGUGACGGUACCUGGAGAAGAAGCACCGGCUAACUACGUG